GGGUAUGGGCAGGUUUGUGUUUUUUCAAGGCACAAUUCUUCCCAACACCUCCCAUACCCUUCAUUUCCAACCUUUGCUCCCCUUCCCUACCCUUUUUCAGGUUUGCUUUUCCUUUUACUCUCAAUAUUUACAUCUUUAGUUAUUUUGAUAUAUAUAUUUUUUAUCUUUUAAGCUAAAUUUGUCCAAAAUAUUUUCAAAAAAAAAAAUAAAUUGUUUUUCUUAUAAAAACUGUUGACUAAACAAUUAAUUUAAUUAAUUUUUUAUAACGAUACUACAUAAUAAUUCAUGUAUAUUUUUAUAUUGACAUAACACAUUAACAAAUAAUAUUAAAAAAUAUAAUAAAUUAUAAAUUAUAAAAAAAAAGUUUAUAAAAAUUCAAAAAAAUUAGCAAGAAUAAUUACAUGUUGGAUUGUCAUUUAAGAUGCAUGUUUAGAAAUUUAAUAUUUUAGUUAAUAUUUUUAUUAAAUAAAAUAAUAAUUUAAUUCUUUUCUUAAGGUUAAUGGUUAAAUUUUUUUAAAAAAAAUAAGGUUUAAAUUUACCCAAAAAAAUAAACCAUAUUAUUUGCUGAAAGCUUUUUAUUUUUGCUCUUUUUUUUAUAUGUAAUUUAUUUGAGGUGUAUUAAUUCUUGGACAGAGAUGUCUCCAUCAAUCGCAAGGUAUGUAAUAUUGGGUGUUUAUUAUUUUGUCACUGUGUUCUCAAAGACCGCUAUAGAUGCUUUCCAUAAAUAAAUAAAAAUAGCUACUGAUGCCAUAUGCGAUAUGCCGUAUGUGAUAUCUUUGACGAUAGGAUAGAUCAUAGAACUAGGAUGCUUGUUAGUCAAAUAAUAUCAAUGGACAUAAAUUAGUAUUGAGGAUGAGUUUUUAAAACUCGAAUCGAGUUAAAAAUUUUUAAAUUAGUUGAGUUGAUAAAUUUUAUUUUAGUAAUUGAACUAAUUUAAAUUUUUUCGAAUCAAGUCAAAAAAUUUUGAGUUGAGUCGAGUUGAAUUAACAAAUUUUAUUAUUUAUAUUUAAUGUUCUGUUUACAUGGACUGAUUAUUUUAUUAGUAGACAAAAUACAAGUUUUUAAAUUAAAUUUGAGUAAAGGAAAAAAUGAGAGUGGGGCAAUUUGAAAAAAAAAAAGUAAGACUAAUGUGUAAACAUUUAUUAAAAUAACGUAGUUUUGCCUUUUAACUUUAGAAAAGGUAAACAUUUAUUAAAACGAUGUAGUUUUACAUUUUCUUAUUUAGGUUUUCGGAUAACUUGAAUUAGGAGUGAGUGUUCGAUCGAUUUGAGUGAAACUGUUCGAGUUAAAUUAGAUAAAUUAAUAAUGUUAAAUUAAUAUCUUGUACAAUAUAACUAUUUCCAUGUUAGAACAUAUAAAUUUGAAACAAUAUAUAUUUGAAAAAAAAUUUAAAGCAAAAUAAUAAAAAAAUAAGAUAUUUUAGUAUGAUAAACUUAAAUCAUUAAUCACUUAUUUAAAUUUCAAAAUUAUUAUUUUAUAAAAUUUUUAUAUAUUUUUUAGAUUUUUUUAAAUACAAAUUUUAGAAUUUUUAUAAAUAUUUUGAAUUUUAAAAUUUAUUUUUAAAAUUUGAAAAUUACUUUAAUUUUCUUUUUAAAUUUUUGUUAAGAGAGAGUCCAAUUUACUCAUUUUCAAAAUUAGUAGGGACCAAAAUGGUAUUUAUACUAAUUUGUUAUUUGAAUUAUUCGAGUUAUGCGACUUGUAAAAAUUCAACUCGACUCGAACUCGAAAUCUAAAAUUUCUUAUUCGAGUUGACUCGAAUAAUUCGAAUAACUAUAUUCGAUUGACUCAAAAUUUAAUUUUUUUUAUUUUUUCUAAUCGAAUUGAAUUUUGCUCACCACUAAAUUAGUACUGUUGUAAAAUUAAUUUUAACAAAUUGUGGUAGAAAAUGGAAGCGGAUUUUUUUUCCAUGAAUAUAAGAUUAAAUUCAAAUUUUAGGGUAUUUUUAGAUGGAAGAGCGUCUAUCUACAGUUAGUGUAAAAAUAACGAGCGGUGAGAUUAGAUAUUGUAGUGAUAAUGUAAUAUAAAAAAAAAAGCUAAACGCACCGCACUAAAGCUAAACACCUAUCUGAAGGGGCCUAUCCAAACAGCUCUAAAUGAUACUAUUGUGAGACUGAAAAAAUUUAAAGGAAAAUAAUUGAAAUGCAGUCUGAUUAUUGAUAAGAGUGUUUUAUUUGAAUAUCUUCUUCUAUUCAAAUAAAAUUGAUUUCAAAAUGUAAAAUGAAUGAGAAUAUAUUUGGUUAUAAAAGAAGUUGUUAGAUUAAUAUUUUAUUUUGAAAAAUUAAGUUUCAUUUGGUUUUAAGAAAUAAAAGUCAUUUUCAUUUUUUUUUUACAAAAUGAAAAAGUUGAAAAAUUUAAAAAUAAUUUUUGAAAUAUGAGAAUAUGUGAAAAUUUUAGAAAUGUGAAAAAUUUGUUUUCACUAAAUUACUUGGUUUUGUAUUUUAAAUACAUUGAUACUAUAUCAGACUUUUAUAAGUGCAAAAAUAAAAUUUUCAAACUGUUUUCAAAUAUUAAAUUUGAUAUUUAGUUUAUUUAAAACUUUUUUUAUUUAUAUUUAACAAAUGUGUUUUUCAUUUUUUUAAAGGAUAAAGUACAAGAAUAGUCAUUAUCUAAGUAGUUCGUUCUAUUUUGAACCUUCAACUAUAAUUUUUUUUUAUUUAAUUACUUAAUUUUUUGAAAUUUAAUAUUUUAGUCACUCUUAUUGUUAAUUUAGUUGUUCAAUAUUUACACAAUUUAUCAAUUUGAUCUCAAAUUUAAAAAAUCAAACAAAUUUAACUUUCAAUGCUUACAAAAUUUUAUAAAAUAUAUUAAAAUAAUUUUAUAUUUGCUUUUAAAAAUUUUAAAAUUUAUAUUUGCUUUUUUUUAUAACUUAUAUUUACUUUUUCUCAUAAACAAUGCUUAUUUUCUCAUCAACCAAACAUAUGAAAAACCUAAAAAUUAAAGUUAUUUUUUAUUUAAUCUCUUUUGAUUUACUCCCCUUUUUAUUUUGUUGUAUUAUUUGUCUCAAAUGUCUAAUUAAAACCCAAAAAGAUGCUUAAGAUUAACAAAUUUAUAAACCCAAAAAAAUGGUUAGGUUGACGACAUCAACACUAAUGGCCUUACUCUUUGCUACAGAUAUAGUACCGGUUUAAGACUUUAGUGCUCUCGUGCCUUUAUCAUUUCUAGCUCAAACAUUGGAGAGAGAUUGCAAGUCAAGGUUAUAGCAUUUGAUAUUUCUAACUUCUUCAAUUAAAUGAAAGAAAGAACAAAGUGAAAGAUAAUCUGGAAAGUCAUUUUGGGUACAAAUCUUAAAAAUAUUUUUAGAUUUACUUUUUAAAAAUUUUAAAAAUUACAUUUAUUUUUUUAAAAAAAAUUUAAGAUUCUUUAAAUUUUUUAUAAUUUUAUAAUUAGGACUAAAGUGACAAAUCUUGUAAACAUUAAGAGCUAAAUUUGUUGAAUUUUUUAGAUUUAAGAUUAAAUUGAUUGUAUAUGAAAAUAUUAGAGGAAAAAUUUAUUAUUAGGCUAAUAAAACAAAGCUCACGUUGGAAUUAUGUUAGAUAACUAAUGGAAGAAUGACUAAAAUAGUUAAAUUUGAAAAGUUGUGUGACUAAAACAAAAUAAUAAUAAUAAUAAUAAUAAUAAUAAUAAUAAUAAUUGAGUGACCAAAAUAGAAUGAAUUAAAUAAUUGGAUGACUAUUCUUAUACUUUAUCAUAUGGAGGCGAUGGUUGAAUUGUCAUUUUUGUCACUUCUUAUGUCAUGGGUGAAGAGGUUGAGACCUUUUAUCUUUUCCCUUAGAAGACAUCUCCCCAUCCCAAACAAGGGCGAUGAAAACAAUCUUGAUUUAUUCCCUCACGACCUUAUCACCCCUCACAACUAUGUAGGUGACCUCAACUUGCACGAUAGGAUCCUCCACCUUAUUUUUACUUGGAUAGUGUCUCCUACCAACAAGCACUUCAGAUUUCGUAAUUCAAAUGAUUGGAUGUGGCAUUGAUUUCGUACAAACCAUCACCUUAACUUUGUCUCAAUCAUUUUUCUUAACAUUGUCGAGAUUGUCUGUCUUCCGGUGUUUAGCAACAAAACUCUCCUCUCUCAUAUUUUCGAGCCCUUAAGUUAAACAUUAAUGUUAACCUUAGUCGAGCCAUUUCUUCCUAUCUCGAUAUGUUAGUAGCUCAUAGUUGUGGUUGGAUCAAUUGUGAUGACGAAUGAAUUUGCAAUCCUGAGUGGACUCAUCAAGCUCAACAAGUAGUCGCUGGUCAUCAGGGGAAAGACAUGUAAGAAGAAGAUGCUCCUCAACAAAUGAAUAUUCUUGCUUUGGCACCUCUUUCAUCCCCUCAUAUCCUCGUUCUUCUUGAUGCGGUACAUGAGUUGUCUUUGUGUGUUAAUGCUUAUUUUGAUGCAUUAACAACCUAUGUUAGUAAUAGGUACAAUAUUUUGGAUGAGCGCAUCUCGAUCUUGCCUCUUGAUUCCCUUUGCCUCCGGACGCCUAAUUUAUUUUAUUGGCUUAAAACUUUCCUAGUUGUUUGAUUGGGAUAUUUGCUACUUAACUUGCUUUUGUCUUCUUUUAUUUCUACUUUGGAUGAUAUUUUCUAUGUUUUUAUUGUUUGACGCAUGAUCUUUUGGGUGCCUCUUAUUUGCUAAUAUGCUUUGGUUGUAUCAUGUGUUUUUACUUCAUUUCUUUCUCAUUUCCAUGUGCUUAUUUGCAUUAUUUUAUUAUAUUUUAUAUCCUUUUCUCAUGGUCUAUCUACUCUUUUAAAUCUCCCUUACUUUUUCAAAUGUAUAAUUCUUUUUCGUAUUACAAAAUGGGGAGAAGAAAAAGUAAAAUUUACAAGUGAAAAUAUCUUUAUACAAGCUAUAUGGAUUAAAACAUAAAAUAAUAGUUUUUCAACUAAUUCUAAAAAAUGCUUUCACUAUUAGAGUUAAAAAUCAAUUCAUAACUUUUGUAAAAUGUCUUCAUCAAAUAUUUUUGAGGAAGCUUAACUUGAAAAUAAUGUUUGAGUAAGGAGGAGUUAGCAAAUUUUUUCAAUGAUUUUGUUAUAUUUAAAAAUGGAGGAUUGUUAGCCGUAGUUUUUCAAAAGUUUUGAUAUAAUAAAGUUAUGAUAAAUUCUCCUUAAUCAAAUUUGCAAUCAAUUGUAAUAAGCUUUUGUAAAAUUAUUUUUAAGUUUUUACAAACUCAUCAAAUGAUAAAUUUUAUAAGAUGUUUUUGAAAAAUACUGAUUCAAGUCAAAAUUUACAACUUUGGGACACUUCUACCAAUAGAAGUGUAUAGAAGUAUCAGUAGAACCAAGACAGAGAGCACAUCAAGAAAUCAUUUAGACUUCUAUCGAUACUUGGGGGCCCUUCUAUUGAUAAAUCCCUAGUUGUAUCGAUACUUGGGAGGAGUUCUAUCGGUAGAAGUAAGUUAUAGAGCAUUCCAAGCAAAGUCUUAGAUUUCUACUGAUACUUAGGAGGACUUUUACGGAUACAAAUAAGUCAGUAAGCAAUUUUUAGAUUUCCUAACACCUUCUACCAAUACAACUAUUGAUGCAAGUCUGAACGGUUGAAGCCCUCAGACUUUUACUGAUACAUCAGGCUCCAACAGUCAUAAUUUUGAAGAUUACUACCGGCACAAGUCCACUUGUAUCGAUACAAGUGGUCUACAGUCUGUAAUUAAUGCUCGAAUUAAUUGUAACAAUAGCUCUAAUUGACUCUCAACGUCUCCAAACGUCCCCAAUGUAACAACCCAUUUUCAGUAAAAUCGGAAUAAUGGUUUCAGGACCACAAAUCCGAGUUCGUAAGGGAAAUUAAUUUAAUAUUAUUGCAUGGUCUGUAUUAUGAUAGGAAUAUUGUAUAAAAAUUUUGUUUAGAUAAUUUUACCGAUUACAUGUCUAAUUUGAUAAAAGGACCAAAUUGCAUGAAAUGCAAAAGUUGAGUUCUAGUAGCUAUAAGUAUCAAAUAGCCAUGGAAGUCAAAAUUGGAGGCCCUUAUAUAGCAAAUAGACCAUUAAGAGGAGUUAGUAGAUAAGUAUGCUUAAUCAUCCAUGGAAAAUUAAAUAAAGAAAAUAACUAAAUUGGAAAGUAAAAAUAAUAAUAAAUGAUAAAUGAUUAAAUAAAGGAGGAUCAAAUAUUUUACAUGGAAACCCUAAUUAGAAGAGCUUGAAGGUAGCAAGCUUAUUUGGCUCAAUUAGGUGAGUAUUCAAGUCCCAUUUUUAGUAAUUUUUAUGAUUCCGAUGUCGUAAUAGCUUAAUCUAGCUAUCUCAGGGAUUAAUUUGUAAAGUUAUCAAAGUACUAGGGUUUUUUCCAUGGAUGAGUAUGCAUGAGUUAUGAAGUUUGAUGGUAGAAAAUGAAAGGUUGUUGAUAGAUAAACAACUUUUAUAAAGUGACUUUUAAUGAAAUUAUAAUUUAGGGAUUAAAUUGUAAAGAUGCAAAAUUCAUGGAAAAUUCUAAUUUAUGAAAANNNNNNNNNNNNNNNNNNNNNNNNNNNNNNNNNNNNNNNNNNNNNNNNNNNNNNNNNNNNNNNNNNNNNNNNNNNNNNNNNNNNNNNNNNNNNNNNNNNNNNNNNNNNNNNNNNNNNNNNNNNNNNNNNNNNNNNNNNNNNNNNNNNNNNNNNNNNNNNNNNNNNNNNNNNNNNNNNNNNNNNNNNNNNNNNNNNNNNNNNNNNNNNNNNNNNNNNNNNNNNNNNNNNNNNNNNNNNNNNNNNNNNNNNNNNNNNNNNNNNNNNNNNNNNNNNNNNNNNNNNNNNNNNNNNNNNNNNNNNNNNNNNNNNNNNNNNNNNNNNNNNNNNNNNNNNNNNNNNNNNNNNNNNNNNNNNNNNNNNNNNNNNNNNNNNNNNNNNNNNNNNNNNNNNNNNNNNNNNNNNNNNNNNNNNNNNNNNNNNNNNNNNNNNNNNNNNNNNNNNNNNNNNNNNNNNNNNNNNNNNNNNNNNNNNNNNNNNNNNNNNNNNNNNNNNNNNNNNNNUUUUUGUUAAGAGAGAGUCCAAUUUACUCAUUUUCAAAAUUAGUAGGGACCAAAAUGGUAUUUAUACUAAUUUGUUAUUUGAAUUAUUCGAGUUAUGCGACUUGUAAAAAUUCAACUCGACUCGAACUCGAAAUCUAAAAUUUCUUAUUCGAGUUGACUCGAAUAAUUCGAAUAACUAUAUUCGAUUGACUCAAAAUUUAAUUUUUUUUAUUUUUUCUAAUCGAAUUGAAUUUUGCUCACCACUAAAUUAGUACUGUUGUAAAAUUAAUUUUAACAAAUUGUGGUAGAAAAUGGAAGCGGAUUUUUUUUCCAUGAAUAUAAGAUUAAAUUCAAAUUUUAGGGUAUUUUAGAUGGAAGAGCGUCUAUCUACAGUUAGUGUAAAAAUAACGAGCGGUGAGAUUAGAUAUUGUAGUGAUAAUGUAAUAUAAAAAAAAAGCUAAACGCACCGCACUAAAGCUAAACACCUAUCUGAAGGGGCCUAUCCAAACAGCUCUAAAUGAUACUAUUGUGAGACUGAAAAAAUUUAAAGGAAAAUAAUUGAAAUGCAGUCUGAUUAUUGAUAAGAGUGUUUUAUUUGAAUAUCUUCUUCUAUUCAAAUAAAAUUGAUUUCAAAAUGUAAAAUGAAUGAGAAUAUAUUUGGUUAUAAAAGAAGUUGUUAGAUUAAUAUUUUAUUUUGAAAAAUUAAGUUUCAUUUGGUUUUAAGAAAUAAAAGUCAUUUUCAUUUUUUUUUUACAAAAUGAAAAAGUUGAAAAAUUUAAAAAUAAUUUUUGAAAUAUGAGAAUAUGUGAAAAUUUUAGAAAUGUGAAAAUUUGUUUUCACUAAAUUACUUGGUUUUGUAUUUUAAAUACAUUGAUACUAUAUCAGACUUUUAUAAGUGCAAAAAUAAAAUUUUCAAACUGUUUUCAAAUAUUAAAUUUGAUAUUUAGUUUAUUUAAAACUUUUUUUAUUUAUAUUUAACAAAUGUGUUUUUCAUUUUUUUAAAGGAUAAAGUACAAGAAUAGUCAUUAUCUAAGUAGUUCGUUCUAUUUUGAACCUUCAACUAUAAUUUUUUUUUAUUUAAUUACUUAAUUUUUUGAAAUUUAAUAUUUUAGUCACUCUUAUUGUUAAUUUAGUUGUUCAAUAUUUACACAAUUUAUCAAUUUGAUCUCAAAUUUAAAAAAUCAAACAAAUUUAACUUUCAAUGCUUACAAAAUUUUAUAAAAUAUAUUAAAAUAAUUUUAUAUUUGCUUUUAAAAAUUUUAAAAUUUAUAUUUGCUUUUUUUUAUAACUUAUAUUUACUUUUUCUCAUAAACAAUGCUUAUUUUCUCAUCAACCAAACAUAUGAAAAACCUAAAAAUUAAAGUUAUUUUUUAUUUAAUCUCUUUUGAUUUACUCCCCUUUUUAUUUUGUUGUAUUAUUUGUCUCAAAUGUCUAAUUAAAACCCAAAAAGAUGCUUAAGAUUAACAAAUUUAUAAACCCAAAAAAAUGGUUAGGUUGACGACAUCAACACUAAUGGCCUUACUCUUUGCUACAGAUAUAGUACCGGUUUAAGACUUUAGUGCUCUCGUGCCUUUAUCAUUUCUAGCUCAAACAUUGGAGAGAGAUUGCAAGUCAAGGUUAUAGCAUUUGAUAUUUCUAACUUCUUCAAUUAAAUGAAAGAAAGAACAAAGUGAAAGAUAAUCUGGAAAGUCAUUUUGGGUACAAAUCUUAAAAAUAUUUUUAGAUUUACUUUUUAAAAAUUUUAAAAAUUACAUUUAUUUUUUUAAAAAAAUUUAAGAUUCUUUAAAUUUUUUAUAAUUUUAUAAUUAGGACUAAAGUGACAAAUCUUGUAAACAUUAAGAGCUAAAUUUGUUGAAUUUUUUAGAUUUAAGAUUAAAUUGAUUGUAUAUGAAAAUAUUAGAGGAAAAAUUUAUUAUUAGGCUAAUAAAACAAAGCUCACGUUGGAAUUAUGUUAGAUAACUAAUGGAAGAAUGACUAAAAUAGUUAAAUUUGAAAAGUUGUGUGACUAAAACAAAAUAAUAAUAAUAAUAAUAAUAAUAAUAAUAAUAAUAAUUGAGUGACCAAAAUAGAAUGAAUUAAAUAAUUGGAUGACUAUUCUUAUACUUUAUCAUAUGGAGGCGAUGGUUGAAUUGUCAUUUUUGUCACUUCUUAUGUCAUGGGUGAAGAGGUUGAGACCUUUUAUCUUUUCCCUUAGAAGACAUCUCCCCAUCCCAAACAAGGGCGAUGAAAACAAUCUUGAUUUAUUCCCUCACGACCUUAUCACCCCUCACAACUAUGUAGGUGACCUCAACUUGCACGAUAGGAUCCUCCACCUUAUUUUUACUUGGAUAGUGUCUCCUACCAACAAGCACUUCAGAUUUCGUAAUUCAAAUGAUUGGAUGUGGCAUUGAUUUCGUACAAACCAUCACCUUAACUUUGUCUCAAUCAUUUUUCUUAACAUUGUCGAGAUUGUCUGUCUUCCGGUGUUUAGCAACAAAACUCUCCUCUCUCAUAUUUUCGAGCCCUUAAGUUAAACAUUAAUGUUAACCUUAGUCGAGCCAUUUCUUCCUAUCUCGAUAUGUUAGUAGCUCAUAGUUGUGGUUGGAUCAAUUGUGAUGACGAAUGAAUUUGCAAUCCUGAGUGGACUCAUCAAGCUCAACAAGUAGUCGCUGGUCAUCAGGGGAAAGACAUGUAAGAAGAAGAUGCUCCUCAACAAAUGAAUAUUCUUGCUUUGGCACCUCUUUCAUCCCCUCAUAUCCUCGUUCUUCUUGAUGCGGUACAUGAGUUGUCUUUGUGUGUUAAUGCUUAUUUUGAUGCAUUAACAACCUAUGUUAGUAAUAGGUACAAUAUUUUGGAUGAGCGCAUCUCGAUCUUGCCUCUUGAUUCCCUUUGCCUCCGGACGCCUAAUUUAUUUUAUUGGCUUAAAACUUUCCUAGUUGUUUGAUUGGGAUAUUUGCUACUUAACUUGCUUUUGUCUUCUUUUAUUUCUACUUUGGAUGAUAUUUUCUAUGUUUUUAUUGUUUGACGCAUGAUCUUUUGGGUGCCUCUUAUUUGCUAAUAUGCUUUGGUUGUAUCAUGUGUUUUUACUUCAUUUCUUUCUCAUUUCCAUGUGCUUAUUUGCAUUAUUUUAUUAUAUUUUAUAUCCUUUUCUCAUGGUCUAUCUACUCUUUUAAAUCUCCCUUACUUUUUCAAAUGUAUAAUUCUUUUUCGUAUUACAAAAUGGGGAGAAGAAAAAGUAAAAUUUACAAGUGAAAAUAUCUUUAUACAAGCUAUAUGGAUUAAAACAUAAAAUAAUAGUUUUUCAACUAAUUCUAAAAAAUGCUUUCACUAUUAGAGUUAAAAAUCAAUUCAUAACUUUUGUAAAAUGUCUUCAUCAAAUAUUUUUGAGGAAGCUUAACUUGAAAAUAAUGUUUGAGUAAGGAGGAGUUAGCAAAUUUUUUCAAUGAUUUUGUUAUAUUUAAAAAUGGAGGAUUGUUAGCCGUAGUUUUUCAAAAGUUUUGAUAUAAUAAAGUUAUGAUAAAUUCUCCUUAAUCAAAUUUGCAAUCAAUUGUAAUAAGCUUUUGUAAAAUUAUUUUUAAGUUUUUACAAACUCAUCAAAUGAUAAAUUUUAUAAGAUGUUUUUGAAAAAUACUGAUUCAAGUCAAAAUUUACAACUUUGGGACACUUCUACCAAUAGAAGUGUAUAGAAGUAUCAGUAGAACCAAGACAGAGAGCACAUCAAGAAAUCAUUUAGACUUCUAUCGAUACUUGGGGGCCCUUCUAUUGAUAAAUCCCUAGUUGUAUCGAUACUUGGGAGGAGUUCUAUCGGUAGAAGUAAGUUAUAGAGCAUUCCAAGCAAAGUCUUAGAUUUCUACUGAUACUUAGGAGGACUUUUACGGAUACAAAUAAGUCAGUAAGCAAUUUUUAGAUUUCCUAACACCUUCUACCAAUACAACUAUUGAUGCAAGUCUGAACGGUUGAAGCCCUCAGACUUUUACUGAUACAUCAGGCUCCAACAGUCAUAAUUUUGAAGAUUACUACCGGCACAAGUCCACUUGUAUCGAUACAAGUGGUCUACAGUCUGUAAUUAAUGCUCGAAUUAAUUGUAACAAUAGCUCUAAUUGACUCUCAACGUCUCCAAACGUCCCCAAUGUAACAACCCAUUUUCAGUAAAAUCGGAAUAAUGGUUUCAGGACCACAAAUCCGAGUUCGUAAGGGAAAUUAAUUUAAUAUUAUUGCAUGGUCUGUAUUAUGAUAGGAAUAUUGUAUAAAAAUUUUGUUUAGAUAAUUUUACCGAUUACAUGUCUAAUUUGAUAAAAGGACCAAAUUGCAUGAAAUGCAAAAGUUGAGUUCUAGUAGCUAUAAGUAUCAAAUAGCCAUGGAAGUCAAAAUUGGAGGCCCUUAUAUAGCAAAUAGACCAUUAAGAGGAGUUAGUAGAUAAGUAUGCUUAAUCAUCCAUGGAAAAUUAAAUAAAGAAAAUAACUAAAUUGGAAAGUAAAAAUAAUAAUAAAUGAUAAAUGAUUAAAUAAAGGAGGAUCAAAUAUUUUUACAUGGAAACCCUAAUUAGAAGAGCUUGAAGGUAGCAAGCUUAUUUGGCUCAAUUAGGUGAGUAUUCAAGUCCCAUUUUUAGUAAUUUUUAUGAUUCCGAUGUCGUAAUAGCUUAAUCUAGCUAUCUCAGGGAUUAAUUUGUAAAGUUAUCAAAGUACUAGGGUUUUUCCAUGGAUGAGUAUGCAUGAGUUAUGAAGUUUGAUGGUAGAAAAUGAAAGGUUGUUGAUAGAUAAACAACUUUUAUAAAGUGACUUUUAAUGAAAUUAUAAUUUAGGGAUUAAAUUGUAAAGAUGCAAAAUUCAUGGAAAAAUUCUAAAUUUUAUGAAAAACACGGCCUGUUAUUGUGACAUAUGAAAUUCAGCUAGGCUUGGAAUAAUGAUUAAAUUGCAUGAAUUUUAUUUUCCGAGCCUAAGGAUGAAAUUGUAAUUAAUCAAAAAUAUAGGAAAAAUAGUGAUUUUGCCUAAGAUGUGAAUUGGAUUGAAUUGAAUAUGAAUUUUAUUAAAUUGAGCUAAAUUUACUUGUAUAGAUCCGGAUAGACCAAAUACGGAGCUAAAUCGAGGUAAAUAAAAAAUAGCGGAUUAGUAUGAUACAAGUUUACGAACAUUGUUGAAGUAAGUUCGUGUAACUAAAUUGUGUAUAUUUAUAUGCUUGAAUUCAAUGUUGUGUAUGUAAUUGUAUUGUUGCUAUGAAUAUGAAAUUAAUAUUAUAUCCCACAAUGCUUAACAAAUAUCAAGUCUUGAUUAAAUAAAUGAAAUUCGAUGGAUACAAGAUUUCCCGUAUUGGUUGUGGUCCUACAUAUGUUGUGAACACACCACAGCUCCAAAGAGUGUCCCAUUAUUAGCCCUCUUAAGCUUCCCGUUAUAUGGUUCUUACGAGCUUCUCGUUAAUAGCUCUUCGGAGCAUCCCGAUCAGUUGAGAUCCUGCAUGUGUUAUGGACAUGUUGCAGCUCUUAUGAGCGUCCCGUUAUAUGGCUCUUCGUGAGCUUCCCGAUUAAAGACUAUUCGUGAGCUUCUCAAUUAAAGGCUUUUUGUGAGCUUCUUGAUUAAUGGCUCUCCAGAGCUUCCCGAUAUGGCUCGCUUGAACUUCCCGGUACAUGGCUAUCUGGAGCUUCAUGUUUAAUGACUCUUCGAAGCUACCCGUUAUUGGCUCGCAUGAGCUUCCCAAUUAUGACUCUUAUGAGCUUCUUGUUAUAUAGCCUGGAUAAGCUUCCCGUUAUAUGGCUCACAUGAGCUUCUUGUUAUAUGGCUCGAGAGAGGGCUUCCUGAUUAUCUGUUUUAAUGAGCACUCUCGAAUAUGAAUUGAUGGAUUAUAGAUUUAUACACUUCUUGUGUAUUACUGUGUAUUCAUUGAUAUUUUAAUAGUUUAACGAACAAAGUUCUGAAAUAAGUUAAGGUAAAUUUUGAAUGAGAUAUUACCUGUAUACACCUAAAAUCAUAUGGAAAUUUGAUAUUUGAUGAGCUUAUCCUUGAUUCUUGAUAUUCACAUGAAAUACAUGACUAACAUGUUGAUGAAGUUUGUGUUUAGGCUAUUAUCCAAAUUGCUUGGAUGUAUUUUGUAUGCUUACCUUAAAUGUAAAUGAAUGGUAAGUUUAUUUCCUAUUAUACGAACUUACUAAGCAUUAAAUGCUUAUUUUGUUUUAUUUCCUCUGUUUUAUAGUAGCUCGAAAGCUCAUUAAGGUUGGAAGCUGGUCGGAGACACAUCACACUAUCCAUCGACUCAUUUCAGUAUAAAUAGUAAAUUAAUUUUUGGUUACAAUGGCAUGCAUAGGAUUAAAUAGCCAAUGUUGGCAUAUAAAUGUUUUAGUUGUAAUUGGCCAUUGUUAUGGCCUAUAAUGAAUGUGUUUUGAU
rnacentral:lncRNA from 1 species